rnacentral:rRNA from 1 species
ACGAACGCUGGCGGCGUGCUUAAUACAUGCAAGUCGAACGGAAAGGCCCUGCUUUUGUGGGGUGCUCGAGUGGCGAACGGGUGAGUAACACGUGAGUAACCUGCCCUUGACUUUGGGAUAACUUCAGGAAACUGGGGCUAAUACCGGAUAGGAGCUCCUGCUGCAUGGUGGGGGUUGGAAAGUUUCGGCGGUUGGGGAUGGACUCGCGGCUUAUCAGCUUGUUGGUGGGGUAGUGGCUUACCAAGGCUUUGACGGGUAGCCGGCCUGAGAGGGUGACCGGCCACAUUGGGACUGAGAUACGGCCCAGACUCCUACGGGAGGCAGCAGUGGGGAAUAUUGCACAAUGGGCGGAAGCCUGAUGCAGCAACGCCGCGUGCGGGAUGAAGGCCUUCGGGUUGUAAACCGCUUUCGCCUGUGACGAAGCGUGAGUGACGGUAAUGGGUAAAGAAGCACCGGCUAACUACGUG